UACCUCUUACCUAGCUUCUGGUGAUUUGUUGUCAAUCUUCAGCCUUCUUUGGCUUGUAGGAGCAUCACCUCAAUCUCUGCCUUCAUUUUCACAAUGUUCUCCCUGUGUAUGUGGUCUGUCUAAAUUUCCCCUUCUGAUGGGGAUACCAGUCAUGUUGGAUUUAAGGCCUGCCCUAAUCCAGUACAACCUUGUCUUAACUAACUACAUCUUUAAUGACCCUAUUUCCAAAUAACACCAUACUCUUUGGGGAGUUUGGAAUUUAAAUCUCCAGCAUGCGAAUUACGAGGGGACCUGACUUAACCCACAACAGUCUCAAUCAGUAAGUUUCAUAGAAAGGGUGGAAAUUUUAGUUUAAUGAAGGGAGUUUCAAAUGUAAAAGAUUAAUUAAUGAAUUUCGCCAUGAGAGUAGGGUCCAGGAUAGGAAAGUACGUGUUGUCAUAUAUUUUUCUGGGAUCAUGCUAUAUUUAUAAGGCUUGACAUUGUAUUUUAUUUUCCAGGAGUGUGUUUGAGGAAAUAGUCACUGGAAAGAAAAGGUCCAAAAUAAAUUAAUCUCAGCUCAUUAUCCUUUAACUUGAAUUUCUCAAUUAAAGUUGAGCAAACAAAUCAGCUGCCGGUUUCAGAAAAUUACCACUGGAGUUCCUCUCUUCUUCAUGCACAACAGAGAGCAAUUAUAAGUCAUGCAAGGGUGAAAAUGUUGCCCUGGCUUCUCUGACUGCGUGUCCCCAUCUGAUUCUGCUGUCUCCUGGACUCCUUCAUCAUCACCUGGAAAACACCAACAUACAGAGAGAAGGAGACAUGAUUAAAGCCCUCUAUUUGACAUUCAAAUCCCCCUACAGGGAUGUCCUUAGCAUAUGUCUAAUUAUAUAUUGUUACAUACAUGGUCAUUAUACUGAACACAGAUCUAUGAUUAAUCAUUUUGAUAACUAUUAUGGCUUUAUAAUAAAUAAAACCAACAUU